GACGAACGCUGGCGGCGUGCCUAAUACAUGCAAGUAGAACGCUGAAGGAGGAGCUUGCUCUUCUGGAUGAGUUGCGAACGGGUGAGUAACGCGUAGGUAACCUGCCUGGUAGCGGGGGAUAACUAUUGGAAACGAUAGCUAAUACCGCAUAACAGUAGAUGUUGCAUGACAUUUACUUAAAAGGUGCAAUUGCAUCACUACCAGAUGGACCUGCGUUGUAUUAGCUAGUUGGUGGGGUAACGGCUCACCAAGGCGACGAUACAUAGCCGACCUGAGAGGGUGAUCGGCCACACUGGGACUGAGACACGGCCCAGACUCCUACGGGAGGCAGCAGUAGGGAAUCUUCGGCAAUGGACGGAAGUCUGACCGAGCAACGCCGCGUGAGUGAAGAAGGUUUUCGGAUCGUAAGGCUCUGUUGUAAGAGAAGAACGAGUGUGAGAGUGGAAAGUUCACACUGUGACGGUAUCUUACCAGAAAGGGACGGCUAACUACGUG
rnacentral:rRNA from 1 species